CCGCCAAUGAAUUCGUGAACCACUUUGCAAUCUACUUCAGUACAUAUGAAGGACAAUCGUACUUCAUCUGCAAACUCUACCGUGACCUGGAACAAAGACAAAGAACUGUCAGUCUCAGUAAAACUCCACAUAAGAACUUACCAAAUCUCUUAUAUAGCCUGGCUGUAGAUGGCAAUGCGAGGAAAGAAAAAGGAAGCAGAAA